UUCCUGAUGUUGAGUCGGUAUUUCCUUUUUUGUAAUUUGAAUGCAUUGGUUUGAGUCCUACUCUGCGGAGCGGGUGAAAACAAGCAUGCUCCUUCCUACAUGUGAUAGCCCUUUAGAUAUUUGAAGAUGACUACCAUAUCUCCUCCCAAUCUCCUCUUUUCCAGGCUAAACAUACCCAACUCCCUCAAUC